rnacentral:rRNA from 1 species
CCAGGAAUAUUGGGCAAUGGGGGGAACCCUGACCCAGCGACGCCGCGUGGAGGAAGAAGGCCUUAGGGUCGUAAACUCCUUUUAAUAAGCCCUUCACGGCUUAUAGAAUAAGCAUCUACUAACUACGUGCCAGAAGUCUCGGUAAUACGUAGGAUGCAAGCAUUAUCCGGAUUUAUUGGGCGUAAAGUGUGCGUAGGCGGUUUGGUGAGUCUUAUCUUAAAUACUCUGGCUUAACCAGAGGAAAGGAUAAGAUACUACCAAACUGGAGGAUUGACAGGGAUACCGGAACAGUAAGUGUAGCAGUGAAAUGCGUUGAUAUUUACUGGAACACCAAAGGCGAAGGCAGGUAUCUGGGUUCUUCCUGACGCUGAGGCACGAAAGCUAGGUUAGCGAAACAG